GCGCUUGCUGCGGCAGCACGCGUACUACAAUUGGGACGACACAGACAAGAUCAGCACGGCCCAUGCCGAGGAGGACACGGAAAUUUGUGAAGCGUUCCAUAUUGAG
rnacentral:snRNA from 1 species